CCUACGGGUGGCAGCAGUGGGGGAUAUUGGACAAUGGGGGAAACCCUGAUCCAGCGACGCAGCGUGAGUGAAGAAGUAUUUCGGUAUGUAACGCUCUGUCAGCAGGGAAGUAAGAAAUGACGGUACCUGACCAAGAAGCCCCGGCUAACUACGUGCCAGCAGCCGCGGUAAUCCGUAGGGGGCAAGCGUUAUCCGGAAUUACUGGGUGUAAGGGGAGCGUAGACGGUGAUGCAAGUCUGGAGUGAAAGGCGGGGGCCCAACCCCCGGACUGCUCUGGAAACUGUGUAACUUGAGUGCAGGAGAGGUAAGCGGAAUUCCUAGUGUAGCGGUGAAAUGCGUAGAUAUUAGGAGGAACACCAGUGGCGAAGGCGGCUUACUGGACUGUAACUGACGUUGAGGCUCGAAAGCGUGGGGAGCAAACAGGAUUAGAUACCCGAGUAGUC
rnacentral:rRNA from 1 species